rnacentral:tRNA from 1 species
GCCUUCAUGGUGUAGUGGUCAGCACACUCGGCGCGUAUUCGAGAGGUCCGUGGUUCGAGUCCCGGCGAGGGCA